GUCUACGACCAUGCCACCCUGAACAAGCCCAAUCCCGUCUGAUCUCGGAGGCUAAGCAGGGUCGGGCCUGGUUAGUACUUGGAUGGGAGACCACCUAGGAAGACCAGGUGCUGUAGGCA
rnacentral:rRNA from 1 species